rnacentral:rRNA from 1 species
AUGGGAUAUAAACAGUGCAAUGGGGAUCAUACAGUAUUCUACCGACACUCAGAUUGUCAUAUUACAAUCCUUGCAGUGUAUGUGGAUUAUAUUAUAAUCACCGGAGAUGAUGAUGUGGAAAUAUCACGACUGAAGAAGAGCCUGAGCAAGGAGUUUGAGGUAAAGGAUUUAGGCCAACUGAAGUACUUUCUUGGUAUAGAAAUUGCUAGAUCCCCUAAAGGAAUUGUUCUGUCACAACGGAAGUAUGCUCUCGACUUGCUUAGUGAUACAGGCAUGCUUGGGUGUAGGCCUGCUUCAACACCUAUUGACCAGAAUCAUAAGUUAUGUGCUGAAUCUGGGGAACUAGUGGAUAAGGAGAAGUACCAGAGACUUGUUGGAAGGCUCAUCUACCUAUGUCAUACACGACCCGAUAUCUCAUAUGCAGUGAGUGUGGCGAGCAGAUACAUGCAUGAUCCUAGGAGUGGACACUUAGAGGCUGUCUAUCGAAUCCUCCGAUAUCUGAAGGGUAAUCCAGGAAGGGGGCUAUGGUUUAAGAAGAAUGUGCAUCUUAAUAUAGAUGGAUACUGUGAUGCAGACUGGGGAAGUUGUUUGGAUGACAGAAGAUCAACUUCUGGUUAUUGUGUGUUUGUUGGGGGAAACUUGGUGUCAUGGCGAAGUAAGAAGCAGCCAGUGGUGUCCAAAUCAACAGAUGAAGCUGAAUAUAGAGCUAUUUCACAAGGCUUGAGUGAGAUGUUAUGGGUAAGAAAUCUUCUCUCUGAGUUAAAGGUAAUAAGGAAGGACCCCCUAAGGUUAUGGUGUGAUAAUAAAUCAGCUAUCAGCAUUGCUAAUAAUCCAGUUCAGCAUGACAGAACCAAGCAUGUCGAGAUAGACCGCUUCUUCAUCAAGGAGAAGUUAGAUGAUAGCAUAAUCAGGAUAAGUUAUGUGAGCUCUAGAGAACAAGUGGCUGAUUGUUUAACUAAGGGUUUAAGUGUCAAGGAGUGUAAUUCUACGUGUGACAAGAUGAGAAUGAUAGAUAUCUAUCGCCCAUCUUGA